ACCAUGGUGUUUGCUAAAUGAUAAUUUUCUGUGUCCAUCAUUCCCGCUAUAUUUAUGAAUUGAAAGAGCUCUCCUUUCUCUCUCAUUUAUUUAUUCAGUCAUGUAUUUAUCUCUCAGUGUGGCCUCAGUGUGGAUAUUUAUUUUAUACCUUGCUCUUUUUCAGGUUCAUCUUGUACAUUUGCUGUGCCUGCACAUUUCUCCAAGGAGAAUGGUAUUUAGAAGUCAACAUCUGGGCACUAGGUAAACUGACUGCCAACCAGUUGUUCAAAGUAGUUGUAACACUUUAUACUCCUCCAGCGGAAUAUGAGAGUGACAGUUGCCACGGAGAUAUUCUCAAGGAGGUUAAGGUCAGUGAGUUCUCUGCAGUAAGUAUAAAAUGUUCUGUUUAGAUCUAUUUAUUUUUUGUAAGUUUGUUUUCAGUUUCUUUAUUUAUUUUGCGAGAGAGAAUCCCAAGCUCAGAGCUCAAGCCCAUGAAUGGUGAGCUCACGACCUGACCUGAAACCAAGAGUUGGAUGCUUAACCGACAGAGCCACCCAGGCGCCCCUGUUCUGUUACAUCUAAUGACCACACGAUUGGAUACUAUUCCACCAUAAAAAGGAAUGAAGUGCAGAUGCGUGCUGUGCCAUAGAUGAACCUUGAAAACAUGCCGAGAGAAAGAAGCCAAUCCCAAAAUACUUCAUAUUGCUGAUUCCAUUUACACGGAGUGUCCAGGAUCCCAUCUGGGACAUAUACUGAUGAAAUUUGAAGUGGGGUUCACGAACAAACGACUAAGAAUUUUUGAGAUGUCUUCAGUGCGAACAGGUGACAGAAAGAGGAUGAUGAUUGAGUUUAUGAGCCCUCUGAAGAUCUGGAAACAAUGAAUUAUGAAGUCAACUUGAAGAAGCUAGGGACAAUUCAUGUAGAAGAGGGAAGGCUCAGGUAGGGGUGAUUAAGGUGGUGUGGGGGCAUGAGAACCAUCUUCAUAUGAUGAACAAGAGGAACUAGAUUUACGGGCUGCUGUGGAGGUGGAAUUAAUAGCAAUGCAGGGGCAAGGGAAGGAGUAUCACAUAGUGGAAAGUUCAUUGGUCUCAGAAUCAGGAGACCUAGACUCUGGUACUGGUUUUGUCUCUAUCUGAAUCUCCUCCUCGUUAGGGGUGGUGAAGCCAUGGUUUGGAUUGGCUGGGCAAUGACUCAGAUAAGAUUACUGGGAUUGUAGGUUGGAGACAGUGGAUCCAAAGGUAUGGGCCAGGGUGAGGAGGCAAGUCUAAGUUCUUUACAGAGAGCUAGUGAUGAAAUCCAAGCCUCAGUUUGAAGGUCCAGAGGUAGGCAAGAGUCACGAGGAUAUUAGAGCAGGAGCAGGUCAGGAAUAAGCUGGGGCAGGUGGGUUUUGGAGAAUGGUAAAAACAUGAGUAGGUGCUUUCUGCUUGCCUCUAGGUAUGUGAGGAGCCUGGUGGGGUGCACCAGUUUAGAGGGCUAGUGCAAGUCAUUAUCUAGCCAUGAGACUUGGGCUGACUGUCCUCCCAUAUCUGGGCCUCAGGUAUCUCUGGUGUGAAGUAAGGGGGCUACAGUCAUGUCCCCCUCUGGUUUUAUGAGUUACAGGAAAGAAAUCUUGGGUGUUCUAUUAGAACAAGGUUUUCUGCCAAUUAGAGCAGUCCACUUAUGGAUCUGGCAACCUUGGCAAGUAGAGGGAAUUCCAGAUCUAUUAGCAAGAUGAGGAGGCCCAAAUUCUGUUCUUCCACCUCUUUAAGGUAAUAGCUCUUCUAGAACGGGUGAGAACACGCCCUGCAGGUACUGUCUUUCAGUAGCAUCUGCCCCUUCAUGUUUGGCUGGCUUCUCCCAGUCAGUAGAGCUCUCACAGGAAUCGGAUGUUCUCUAUUUUGCCACAGUAGAAAGCAAUAUAAACACUCUUCAGCUA